AGAGAGUGGACAGAAUUAAGUCGACACUCCAUGGCCUCGGAAAGCACGUGCGGAUGCAGCGCCGAGCUCCAAUCCGCUCGUGGCGAGUUUAAUCUGAGGCCUAUUUAUAGCCCUGAAGCGACGUUGUCGAUUAUUAGCUCACAUGCUGCCCCACGCCGCACUUUGCUCAUCACCUUUGUCUGCGCCGUGUAGUUAAUGGUUUACCUUUGUCAUUUAAUAAAUAAAUUAAAUAAUAGCACAAGCGUUGCGGGAGGUAAGUAUCGUUUCCCGGUCGAUGUUGGUAGGACAGUUUGAGAAAAUCAUUAUUUUUCUCAUUGGACCAUGAAGGGAUCGCAUACCAACGAGUUGUUUGUUGACGCCGAUACCAUGGUGUCAGUUGAAAAGGUAAAUCCAACAUAAUUUGCAUUUUUUUUAAAAAUCUGAGAUUAACACUCAGGUAGAAAAUACACACUAUGAAAAUUACAACAAUGUUUUGGUGAAUCUUACGCGACAAUAAAGCCAUGAAUUCAUAUGAAAGACAGUUUGACCUACUUGAAUUUGAAUUGUUAACUUCCCAAACACUUUUGACUUGCGGUCUUUCGAGCUUUCCACCCCGACAGCGUCAUAAAAUUCGACCAAACGAGCGUGGCGGAAACAUAAAACUGUGUGCCAAAAAAAA